GACAGAGGUCUCGAGCGUUAGGCGGAAUCACUGGGCUUAAAGCGUGUGUAGGUGGAUGUCUAAGUACCUUGUGAAAUCCCACGGCUCAACCGUGGAACUGCUUGGUAUACUGCUUAUCUUGGGCCAUCUAGGGGCGAGCGGAACAAACGGUGGAGCGGUGAAAUGCGUAGAUAUCUGGAGGAAUACCGGUGGCGAAGGCGGCAUCCUGGACCGGCAUUGACGCUGAGGAGCGAAAGCUAGGGGAGCAAACGGG
rnacentral:rRNA from 1 species